rnacentral:rRNA from 1 species
UACGAAGGGUGCAAGCGUUAAUCGGAAUUACUGGGCGUAAAGGGCUCGUAGGCGGCCAACUAAGUCGGAUGUGAAAUCCCCAGGCUCAACCUGGGAACUGCAUCCGAUACUGGAUGGCUUGAAUCCGGGAGAGGGAUGCAGAAUUCCAGGUGUAGCGGUGAAAUGCGUAGAUAUCUGGAGGAAUACCGGUGGCGAAGGCGGCAUCCUGGACCGGCAUUGACGCUGAGGAGCGAAAGCCAGGGGAGCAAACGGG